rnacentral:lncRNA from 1 species
UAUGCGGAUUAUACACCAAAAAAAAAACACUCACAAAUGGAUACAAUUAAAGGAAUGUGUUUAGUGACGGCAUCAGAUUCCUAAUUGAUGGAGAAAUGUUUGGUGGCAAGAAAAGCUGCUGACGGUAUCUGGGGAAUAAGCAUCGGCUAACUCUGUGCAGAGCCGCGGUAAUACAGAGGAUGCAAGCGUUAUCCGGGUAAAGCGUCUGUAGGUGGCUUUUUAAGUCCGCCGUCAAAUCCCAGGGCUCAACUCUAGACAGGCGGUGGGAAACUACCAAGCUGGAGUACAGUAGGGGCAGAGGGAAUUUCCGGGUGAGCGAUGAAAGAGAGAAACAAAGAAUAUUACUACUGUGUAAACGAAAAGUUUGAGAGUAAGCAUUACACAACCUCCAAGAUCAUCCCUACCUAUUACUGCUCCUUUGAGUAGUAACGAGGGGUUUUUUGAGAUCAACUCACAUUGGACAUAUCAUAUAGAAUCUUUCAUUCUUAUGAUACUAUAUAGUAUGCAUACAAGAUGUAUUGGGACGAAUCCUUUUUCUUUUAUGAUAAGAAAACGCUCUUAGUUCAGUUCGGAGAACGCGGGUCUCCAAAACCCGAUGUCCUAGGUUCAAAUCCUACAGAGCGUGAUUCGGAUCUUCUUCUAGGA